GAUGAACGCUAGCGGCAGGCUUAAUACAUGCAAGUCGAGGGGCAGCACGGUUAGCAAUAACUGGUGGCGACCGGCGCACGGGUGCGUAACACGUAUACAAUCUACCUUAAACAGGGGAUAGCCUUUCGAAAGAGAGAUUAAUACCCCGUAAUAAAUUGAACGGCAUCGUUUGAUUUUGAAAGCUCCGGCGGUUUGAGAUGAGUAUGCGUCUGAUUAGCUAGUUGGUGAGGUAACGGCUCACCAAGGCGACGAUCAGUAGGGGAUCUGAGAGGACUAACCCCCACACUGGUACUGAGACACGGACCAGACUCCUACGGGAGGCAGCAGUAAGGAAUAUUGGUCAAUGGAGGCAACUCUGAACCAGCCAUGCCGCGUGCAGGAUGACGGCCCUAUGGGUUGUAAACUGCUUUUAUACAAGAGAAAACCCUGGUACGUGUACCAGGUUGAUAGUAUUGUAAGAAUAAGCAUCGGCUAACUUCGUGCCAGCAGCCGCGGUAAU
rnacentral:rRNA from 1 species